UUGUUAUGUUGCUGGUGGUUGGCUCUUUGCUUGUGCAACAACUUCCACCUGACAUACCUUUUCAUUUGACUGAUAAGGCUUCUAUUGCCAAAUCAGUCUGUGGGUUUCUUGUGUUGCCUACCGAUCAUAAGGUACUUUUGUUGGCUGGUGUAAGUUUGUUUUGUCUUGUCUUGUACUAUAUGAGAUCAGAUGAACCAUAAGGCAUCUCUUUGAGCCACACAUCUAAUGCUUGUGUGAUGUUGUGGUGCAUUGAUGUUUGCUUGGUAUCUUUGAUAUGGAAAUUGAUGUGGGCAUGGGUUUCAUGAGUUCCUUUUAUGUCCUGGUUUAGCGUUUACGCUUCUCUUAAACGACUGCUCAACUUGCAUUGGCUCGUACCAGUGUGUUGGGUUAUGUCGAAGAGGAAAGUUACCUGGU
rnacentral:misc_RNA from 1 species